AGAGUUUGAUCAUGGCUCAGAGCGAACGCUGGCGGCAGGCCUAAAACAUGCAAGUCGAACGCCGUAGCAAUACGGAGUGGCAGACGGGUGAGUAACACGUGGGAACGUGCCUUUUGGUUCGGAACAACUGAGGGAAACUUCAGCUAAUACCGGAUAAGCCCUUACGGGGAAAGAUUUAUCGCCAGAAGAUCGGCCCGCGUCUGAUUAGCUAGUUGGUGAGGUAACGGCUCACCAAGGCUACGAUCAGUAGCUGGUCUGAGAGGAUGAUCAGCCACACUGGGACUGAGACACGGCCCAGACUCCUACGGGAGGCAGCAGUUAGGAAUCUUGGACAAUGGGCGCAAGCCUGAUCCAGCCAUGCCGCGUGAGUGAUGAAGGCCUUAGGGUUGUAAAGCUCUUUCAGCGGGGAAGAUAAUGACGGUACCCGCAGAAGAAGCCCCGGCUAACUUCGUGCCAGCAGCCGCGGUAAUACGAGGGGGGCUAGCGUUGCUCGGAAUCACUGGGCGUAAAGCGCACGUAGGCGGCUUUCUAAGUCAGGGGUGAAAUCCUGGAGCUCAACUCCAGAACUGCCUUUGAUACUGGAGAGCUCGAGUCCGGAAGAGGUGAGUGGAACUCCGAGUGUAGAGGUGAAAUUCGUAGAUAUUCGGAAGAACACCAGUGGCGAAGGCGGCUCACUGGUCCGGUACUGACGCUGAUGUGCGAAAGCGUGGGGAGCAAACAGGAUUAGAUACCCUAGUAGUCC
rnacentral:rRNA from 1 species